UACGGGGGGGCAAGCGUUGUUCGGAAUUACUGGGCGUAAAGGGCUCGUAGGUGGCCAACUAAGUCAUACGUGAAAUCCCUCGGCUUAACCGGGGAACUGCGUCUGAUACUGGAUGGCUUGAGGUUGGGAGAGGGAUGCGGAAUUCCAGGUGUAGCGGUGAAAUGCGUAGAUAUCAGGAGGAACACCGGUGGUGUAAGACGGCUUUCUGGACCGUAACUGACGCUAGACACGAAAGCGUGGGUAGCAAACAGGAUU
rnacentral:rRNA from 1 species